rnacentral:rRNA from 1 species
AGCAGUAGCCGCGGUAAGACAGAGGAUGCAAGCGUUAUCCGGAAUGAUUGGGCGUAAAGCGUCUGUAGGUGGCUUUUCAAGUCCGCCGUCAAAUCCCAGGGCUCAACCCUGGACAGGCGGUGGAAACUACCAAGCUGGAGUACGGUAGGGGCAGAGGGAAUUUCUGGUGGAGCGGUGAAAUGCGUUGAGAUCGAAAAGAACACCAACGGCGAAAGCACUCUGCUGGGCCGACACUGACACUGAGAGACGAAAGCUAGGGGAGCAAAUGGGAUUAGAUACCCCAGUAGUCCCUGUCUCUUAUAC